ensembl:lncRNA
AUGAAGACUUCCUUCCAUCCAUCCAUCCAGGCCUUCGUCUCGGUUGGUUGCACAUUACACACACGACCAGAAACAAUGACUGAAAUUUUAAGUCUGAGAAAUUCCCAGGCAAAGUUUCCAGCUGUGCGGGCAACAAAAAAAGGCGGUUUGAGUGAAGACUGCAGCCCCAGCGGCGAAGGAGAGGGAACCGCUCUCAACCAAAGCGGCUCUGGAAGUCCCAACAAGCGCGGAUGGAGGCUGAUUACCUGCCGAUCAGAGCCCACCUGCCUGCGUGCGACAGGUGCAGGCUCUGCGGUCAGGCCGGGCAGACCUGAGGAACGCGGAGCAGUCGGAGCCUCCGCAGCGGCCGUUCCUCCGAGACUCACCUGACAGGAAAAACCGGUGGGGGUAGUCAGAUAGCUGUUUUGUCAGAUGCACAACUGAUCCAACCCCCCCACCAGUAGGAAAUCCAGACCAAAAAAAAGCAGAAAAAACCAAUUUUACUGAGCAAAUAAAGAAACUUCAGCACUGUCAGCACGUCUGCGAUUAUCCUGGAACAUGGGUCUUUCAAAAGCAUCUAACAACAGUUCUUUCUAUCUAAAGAAGCCCCACACCGGGACUGUCUUUGAUUAUCAUGUAAAAGGUGUCAUCUGAGUUUGAUUCAUGGAGUUUCAUGGAGUUUAUCCUGUUUGAGGUUGCACCAAAUAAAACAAGUCGCACGAGAAGCCCUAAAGUAAAGUUCUGCAGAAACUCCGGAUGGGUCAUAAACGCUUAAAGUUCUCAUGUAAGACACAAAAACAACACUGUAGGAUCCCAUUAUCAUGCAGGCAUACUUUAAGGCUUAUCUGGAUCUGUUAAAAGUGUAUAUAUCCUUCCAACAGACCAAACACUGAAAGACUGAAAGCAGGCUGGAAAAAAAGCCUCACCAGGCCGUUUGGCCUGGAGACACUGAGCGCUGUACCUGAUGCAGGAAUGACACCGGACUGGUUUGGAGCAGCAGCCAGGCCCAUUGGGAGGGAGUCACCGCUGUGAGCAUGCCAAAGCAAUACUCAGGACUUUGUUUAGGCAUGCACAACAGGACGGGGAACCGCUGAAUAUUAUUGGAGUUUAUGUCAAACUCCUUCACGAGAAGAUCCAAAAUCCAAAGCACGUUCGUGUAGAGUGUCACUUUAAAAGCACACAGGGAAUCAAAGACGUAAAACAAACCUUAUGUCUUAUUCUCGACCCCAAAACUCAAACAAGAUUCACGGAUUUUUGUGUGGAGGAUUAUAUUUGAUGGAAACGUAUCCUGGAGAUCAAAUCCUUUUAUCUGGGCCUCAUCUGAACAGAUGAAUAUCUUCUGAUUGGUCUAGAAAACAGGAAGUUGUUUGUGUAACGUUAUGUUUUUUACCCAACUCAGAAAUUUUGAGUUUCACGAGGAACGAUGAUUGGUUUAAAAAAAGGGAAAAAUAAAAACAUCAGUCUUACCGAUUAACACCUGUUUGUUCCAAUAUCCUGCUGAGCUGCAUUCUUCUUUUCACUGCAAACAUCAUUUCAUCUGUCAGAAUUCAUUUUUGUUUUGAUAGAUUGGUUUACCCUGGAUUUUACAGCCUUCAAAGUAUUUUAAACAGUAGUUUUAUUGCAAAGUGACUAAAGUUUCUAUCAGAAAAUGCAAACAUUUCAUGGUAUCAAAGCAGUUAUGAAAGAGCUUCAUUUCAGGUUGGGUUUCCAGCGUAGUGAGGCCCCCCCCCCUCUCUCUGUUUUAAGGUAAAACUCCACUCCUUCAUUUGGCAGAAGUUUGGUCUUUUUUAAAGUCUGUGGGGAGCUGCAAAUAACGCGCCAAUAAUGUUGCACCAGUCUGACGAGUCAAACUUCUUCUUGGAAGGAAAGGCUGCAUCACAGUGAUACUGACUUGUACUGACUUACAAUUGUAGUCUUUUAAAUCCAAGAGGAUCUGCGGAUGAUGUUAACCGCACAUGACUCUGCUGUCAGAAAAUGUUGGGAAAACAGUGGAGGUAUCACAGCUAGGGGUGUAACGAUUCAUAUUAGCAACAAUUCAUGUCAUACUUUUUGGUAGACGACACGAUUCAUAGUCGAUAUUAUUUUGAACGAUCCGAUGCACCUAAAAUGGGUCCAGAAGAUUUUUGUCCAAAAUUUCGACCAGUGAGACUCAGAAAUAAAUACCUGGAUACUAAAUAGUGCAGGGGAAGUUUUCCAGAUUCCUGUUAUCUCUUGCAAAAUACUAAAGUGUAAAUUAAAUUUGUGUACAAACAAACAAGUAAACAAGAAUUAAAGGCAAAUCCAUUCACAUUUUAGUUUCCUAAGGUUCAGCCCACUGUUGUUUUUUUCACAUCAUAACAAACCAAAGGGAACAUCAUUAGAACAUUCUAGCAAACUGUAUGGUCACAUGUCUUUGCUAAAUUCAAAGUGUUUCCACACAUUGGACUGGAAUGAUGGACUGAUCAGUUUUUGCUUUCAUAACGUGCGUGUUGUCCACUGUGAUGCAUGUUUUGUUUUUACAUCAUAGUAAAGUAAAAUUGACCCUAAAAUGGUGAUUUCCAAGAUCAAUACAAUUGAUUUGUUUAUUUUUGGCAGGAUUUUAUAUAGCCUCUUUUUUGGACAUUUGUUUUUAUGUUUGUCUUUUGACUCAUUUGAAGUUCUCUACUGAGACCUGAUGUGCUUAAAUAAGGACAUUCCAGCCUUUCCAAUGACCUCUCAUGUGUUUGGAUUAGAUUUUGGGAGGUUUUCUUGGGUGGGGAAACAUAAAGUAGUCUAUGGAGGCGCAGGUUCUCAGAAGGAAAGGUUGAUUUGACUUAAUUAACAACUUGCCUCAGACUGAUGAUCUGGUUGGAUAAAUUGAUUUAUUGAUUAAUCGAUUAAUUGUAACACCUCUAAUGAAGAUGAAUGGGGCAGACGUCUUAAAACGGGGUACUAUAAAUGUUCUCACAGCUUUUGAUGGUGCACCUUUUUGUUUUUUCAUAGUGAGCUAUAACUUCUGUCAUUUCUGGAAUGUCACAGAAGUCAGGCUGUACUAAGCGAGAACACCUAAUGUCAAGUUUCUUCAAUGACAUCUCAGCCUUUCUCACAUUCUUGACAUAUUACAGAAAGGCACAACUCUAUUUUUCUCUUUAUAUUUAAGGUCUAGGUUCUGCGGCUUUGUUUGAUGCCAACUUCCUCCUUUUGUGUGAUGAUGAUGA